rnacentral:rRNA from 1 species
GUCUUUUUGAAAAUAAUUUAAAGUCUAAUCUGCCCACUGAUNAAAUUAUUAAAGGGCUGCAGUAUUUUGACUGUACAAAGGUAGCAUAAUCAUUAGUCUCUUAAUUGGUGACUUGUAUGAAAGAUUGGAUGAGAUAUAUACUGUCUCUAUUUAAUUUAUAAAAUUUAAUUUUUUAGUAAAAAAGCUAAAAUUAUUUUAAAAGACGAGAAGACCCUAUAGAGUUUUAUAAUUUAUUUAAUUAUUAUUAAUAUGUAAAUUUUAAAAUUAAAAUUAAAUAAAUUAUUUUGUUGGGGUGAUAGAAAAAUUAAAUUAACUUUUUUUUUAUUGUAUACAUUAAUUUAUGAGUAAAUGAUCCAUUAAUAAUGAUUAAAAGAAAAAAUUACCUUAGGGAUAACAGCGUAAUUUUUUUUUUUAGUUCAAAUAGGAAAAAAAGUUUGCGACCUCGAUGUUGGAUUAAGAUAAAAUUUAAAUGCAAAAG